CCUACGGGUGGCUGCAGUGGGGAAUAUUGGACAAUGGGCGAAAGCCUGAUCCAGCCAUGCCGCGUGUGUGAAGAAGGCCUUCGGGUUGUAAAGCACUUUCAGUGGGGAAGAAAGCCUUGGGGCUAAUACCCUCGAGGAAGGACAUCACCCACAGAAGAAGCACCGGCUAACUCCGUGCCAGCAGCCGCGGUAAUACGGAGGGUGCGAGCGUUAAUCGGAAUUACUGGGCGUAAAGCGCGCGUAGGCGGUCUGAUAAGCCGGUUGUGAAAGCCCCGGGCUCAACCUGGGAACGGCAUCCGGAACUGUCAGGCUAGAGUGCGGGAGAGGAAGGUAGAAUUCCCGGUGUAGCGGUGAAAUGCGUAGAGAUCGGGAGGAAUACCAGUGGCGAAGGCGGCCUUCUGGACUGACACUGACGCUGAGGUGCGAAAGCGUGGGUAGCAAACAGGAUUAGAUACCCCAGUAGUC
rnacentral:rRNA from 1 species